rnacentral:lncRNA from 1 species
AAAGUUUAUUUAAAAGUUUAAACAAUUAUAUUUAACAGGAGAGAAAGCUUACUUAAGCUGACAGUAGAGUUGACAUAGCAAGGCGAUGCCUAAAGAUGAGCUCAGCCAUUCAGCAAAUGCCAUUUCCCCUGCCUGGCUCGGUCAGUAGUAAAAACAUGGUUGCAAACAAGUUUGGCAUUUUCAAAACGGGCUUCCUUGCCAUCUACAGUUAAAAUUAAUCUCAAAAAUUCCUAGGAGCUUAGCUCACGCGAUACUUUCUGAAAAUGAAUUUAAAAAAAGUGGUGGUCGCAAAUCCAUACUCUUAGCCUCCGCUCUUAAUUUCAUUUUUCGUUUUUAUAGCAGUGGUUUUUUCUUCUUUUUUGUGCUACAGAGAUUGAUUGAAACGCCUUUCGACCCAUUUCUGUUAGAGAACUACUGCCUGGCCAAUUUGACACUGAACCAACUGGACAUAUUUAGUGAAUACUACAAAAGACUCGAGGUUACUGGCGAAGCAUCACCAGCCCUCAUGCGGUAUUUGGAUGGUGCUCAUUUGAAAAAGCAAGGGAGACUCGAAGAAGCGGCCACAACACUUAAAUUGGUGGAGAGUCUGUCCCCGCCCGAAAGUCUUCUGUCAAAAACUCUUAUCUUACUAGGAGACAUUUCCUCACAGUUAAAAGAUUUUGGUGAUACCCAUCAAUGCUUUCUCAAAGCUGCAAAACUCUGCCGCACUGGUACUUACCCUACUAUAGCCUUGGUUGCUACUACAUGAGUGUUCUGAAAGACUAUGAUAAAGCGAGACGAUGCUUCCAGAAAUCGUACGAGUUCAACCCAUUCUUCACAGAAGCAGGCAAAGGUCUCAGCGAUGCUUACAACAAACUGAACAUGCCGCAAAAAAUAUUGAGGUCCUUCUCAAAGUCGCAAGUAAUUCAGGCGAGAAAUGGGCAUGGGUUCGUCUUGGCCGCCUCUAUUCCAUCACCAACCAGUAUCAACAAGCUUCCGACUGUUACUUAAAAGUGUUGAAAGCUAAUGAGCAAGACAGCCAGUGCUGGGAGUUACUCGCAGUGUCGUAUUCAGCCCGCGGAAUGUUCCAUGCUGCAAUCAAAUCAUUGAACGAGCAACUGAAAUCAACCCUAACUUGCUGUACUCAAAAUAUCGUGCAGCAACCAUCAAGCUCUUGAUCGGACGAUUCGAUGAAGCGCUAGAGGAGUUCCGUGUUCUAGUCCAUGAAGAUCCCUCUUCCGUUCCAUAUUUGAAGGGGCUGGCAGAGACUUGUGUCAAGCUUGCCCAAGUCCUGUUCAAAAAACAUAUCUUAAUAACAUGUAAGGACAGGUGUCAGGAGGCUAUUGAUAAUCUCUGCAGGUAAGACAUCUCCUUGGUGAAGAGGGCUGAAAAAGGCUGAGAAGGCAUGAAAAAACACGAAAUUAUUUUCAUUAGGUGUGCCAUCAUUACUUAGUUUAUAAAAGAAAAAUUACAUAAGGGAAAAAAAACCUGUCAAAUCUAGAUCAGUAGACAAGAUGCGAAUUUAAACAUUAUGAUGCAUGCAUUCUUAUCUACAGGGUGUCUAGCAUCAGGAUUUUCCCGAUUUUCCCGAUUCUAUCAA